rnacentral:misc_RNA from 1 species
GAUGAAGAACGCAGCGAAAUGCGAUAAGUAAUGUGAAUUGCAGAUUUCAGUGAAUCAUCGAAUCUUUGAACGCACAUUGCGCCCAUUAGUAUUCUAGUGGGCAUGCCUGUUCGAGCGUCAUUAAUUCCACUUAAGCCCUGCUUAGUGUUGGGAAUCUACUCUAGUGGUGCUACCCUGGAGCUACCCCUGAAAGGGGGCUGGCCCGGUAGCUACCCUGUAGUUCCUCAAAGAUAGUGCGCGGAGUUGUGUGGUCCUCUGAGCUUAGUAACUAUACACCUAGCUUUUGAGUGUCCCGCGGCGCCUGCCGUUUAAACCCCAUCUUUUAAUGGUUGACCUCGGAUCAGGUAGGAAUACCCGCUGAACUUAAGCAUAUCAAUAAGCGGAGGA